UUUUAAUUAUAUAAUAAAAAAUAUAAUAUUAAGUUAUUUUAAAAUAUAUUUUAGAAAUUAAUCUAUAUAUAUAAAAAUGUGUUUGCGUCUCUCAUAAGCUAUCCACGUGGAAAAUCACUCUCUGACAAGCCGACACGUGUCUCUGGGUUUUAUUUCUUUGGCUCGACUUGAGUUUAACUUUGGGCUUAUACUAUGAACAAUUGACAGGGCGUCAAUUGUUCGCUGCACCGAUAUUGUUUCAGAUUUCGGAGUAAAAUAUAAUGUGUGCUAUGGUCCAUGUGACGACAAAGGAAUGUGUUGGCCGUAUUGUCAUACCAAAACAGGUCGGAAAAGGGGAGACUGUGUUGGCAAAGGAAAAGAUUAUUUAGGCAUUUGUUGUUGUGAUGAACAAUAGAUAAAAUAUUAAAUAAUAUCAUUAGAUAUUAUAUCUUGUAUGAAAUGAAAUAAUAUUACCAAUAAUAC